GGACAAAGUGACAGGUGGUGCAUGGUUGUCGUCAGCUCGUGUCGUGAGAUGUUGGGUUAAGUCCCGCAACGAGCGCAACCCUUGAUUUUAGUUGCCAGCAUUUAGUUGGGCACUCUAAAGUGACUGCCGGUGCAAGCCGGAGGAAGGUGGGGAUGACGUCAAAUCAUCAUGCCCCUUAUGACCUGGGCUACACACGUGCUACAAUGGAUAGUACAAAGGGUCGCGAAGCCGCGAGGUGGAGCUAAUCCCAUAAAACUAUUCUCAGUUCGGAUUGUAGGCUGCAACUCGCCUACAUGAAGCCGGAAUCGCUAGUAAUCGUGGAUCAGCAUGCCACGGUGAAUACGUUCCCGGGCCUUGUACACACCGCCCGUCACACCACGAGAGUUUGUAACACCCGAAGUCGGUAGGGUAACCUUUAUGGAGCCAGCCGCCGAAGGUGGGACAGAUAAUUGGGGUGAAGUCGUAACAAGGUAGCCGUAUCGGAAGGUGCGGCUGGAUCACCUCCUUU
rnacentral:rRNA from 1 species